GACGAACGCUGGCGGCGUGCCUAACACAUGCAAGUCGAACGGGAACGGGUUAUAGCUUGCUAUAAUUGUCAGCUAAGUGGCGCACGGGUGAGUAAUGUAUAGGUAAUAUGCCUCUUACUAAGGGAUAACAAAUGGAAACGUUUGCUAAUACCUUAUACUCCUUAUUAACAGAAGUUAAUAAGGGAAAGAUUUAUUGGUAAGAGAUUAGCCUGUAUUGUAUCAGUUAGUUGGUGAGGUAAUGGCUUACCAAGACUAUGACACAUAACUGGUUUGAGAGGAUGAUCAGUCACACUGGAACUGAGACACGGUCCAGACUCCUACGGGAGGCAGCAGUGGGGAAUAUUGCACAAUGGACGAAAGUCUGAUGCAGCAACGCCGCGUGGAGGAUGACACAUUUCGGUGCGUAAACUCCUUUUAUAUGAGAAGAUAAUGACGGUAUUAUAUGAAUAAGCACCGGCUAACUCCGUGCCAGCAGCCGCCGUAA
rnacentral:rRNA from 1 species